rnacentral:lncRNA from 1 species
UACGUAGCUGGGUUGUACACCACGGUGCCUUUUAGGAGUGGCCUGUGUUACAUACAGUUUCUGUGUGUGACUGAUUCCGGAACCCAGUUUGGCAGCUCUGGUUCAGAGACUCUUAGGAGCUGCAGGUAUCUGACUUGACCUGAGGCUGAGCGUGGUACUUUCAAAGGACUGGCUGGUGGGUGGGGCUGGUGGGCGGGGCUGACACAGAGAAACCCUGUCUUAG